GCCUCUUUAGCUCAAUUGGUAGUAGCAGCGGUUUUGUAAACCGCAGGUUAUCGGUUCAAGUCCGAUAGGAGGCU
rnacentral:tRNA from 2 species